GUCUAGCGUUAGGGAUAGAAAUGAAGAUCCUUUUUAAUGCCGCAACAGGCGCUAUUAAAAAGAUCGUAAUGAAUAGCCCGACCGAGG
rnacentral:sRNA from 1 species